CGGGGUGUAGCGCAGCCUGGUAGCGCAUCUGCUUUGGGAGCAGAGGGUCGGCAGUUCGAAUCUGUCCACCCCGACCA
rnacentral:tRNA from 2 species